UUUAUCGAAAAGGUCCCAAAAUCUCAACAACCCGGAAUCUGAUUUCUCAAUUCUCGCUUCACCGUGUCUCAAGAACUCGCCACCACUCUGUAGUAAUACGAUGUGUGAAUCAACGAUUUCGGUGUUCUUGAUACAAUUUGCAAUCCGUUCUUGCUCAAGUUUCGCUUGAAAUUUCAGAACCAUGUAAAGCUAUAUUAGUAUGAGCUGUUAGGUGAAGAUGGAUCAUCAAAUUGGAUAUGGUGUUGAAGUGACUCGGUUAUCUCUAUCUGUUACUGAGAAAGAUUUUAUUGAUUUCUUCUCUUUCUCUGGUACAAUCGAAUAUAUUGAUAUUGUCAGGUCAGGUGCUUAUGUGAUGUUCAGGGAUUCUUAUUCUCAAGAAACUGCUGUUGUACUCUGUG